UACGGGAGGCAGCAGUAGGGAAUCUUCCGCAAUGGGCGAAAGCCUGACGGAGCAAUGCCGCGUGAGUGAAGAAGGCCUUCGGGUCGUAAAACUCUGUUAUAAGAGAAGAACAAAUUGUAGAGUAACUGCUACAGUCUUGACGGUAUCUUAUCAGAAAGCCACGGCUAACUACGUGCCAGCAGCCGCGGUAAUACGUAGGUGGCAAGCGUUGUCCGGAUUUAUUGGGCGUAAAGGGAGCGCAGGUGGUUUCUUAAGUCUGAUGUGAAAGCCCACGGCUUAACCGUGGAGGGUCAUUGGAAACUGGGAAACUUGAGUACAGAAGAGGAAUGUGGAACUCCAUGUGUAGCGGUGGAAUGCGUAGAUAUAUGGAAGAACACCAGUGGCGAAGGCGACAUUCUGGUCUGUUACUGACACUGAGGCUCGAAAGCGUG
rnacentral:rRNA from 1 species